UGCAAGUCGAACGCGGUUACCUCGCAAGGGGUGACUGAGUGGCGAACGGGUGAGUAACGCGUGGGUGACCUACCUUCGAGUGGGGGAUAACGUCCCGAAAGGGACGCUAAUACCGCAUGACAUCCUGCCUUUGAAUAGGUGGAGAUCAAAGCUGGGGAUCGCAAGACCCGGCGCUUGAUGAGGGGCCCGCGUCCGAUUAGCUAGUUGGUGGGGUAACGGCUCACCAAGGCGACGAUCGGUAUCCGGCCUGAGAGGGCGGACGGACACACUGGGACUGAGACACGGCCCAGACUCCUACGGGAGGCAGCAGUGGGGAAUUGUUCACAAUGGGCGCAAGCCUGAUGACGCAAUGCCGCGUGGAGGAUGAAGGUCUUCGGAUUGUAAACUCCUGUUGCCAGGGACGAAUAGCUCCGACCUAAUACGUCGGAGUAUGACGGUACCUGGUGAGGAAGCCCCGGCUAACUCUGUGCCAGCAGCCGCGGUAAUACAGAGGGGGCAAGCGUUGUUCGGAAUUACUGGGCGUAAAGGGCGCGUAGGCGGCCUUCUAAGUCGAACGUGAAAUCCCCGGGCUCAACCCGGGAACUGCGUCCGAUACUGGGAGGCUUGAAUCCGGGAGAGGGAUGUGGAAUUCCAGGUGUAGCGGUGAAAUGCGUAGAUAUCUGGAGGAACACCGGUGGCGAAAGCGGCAUCCUGGACCGGUAUUGACGCUGAGGCGCGAAAGCUAGGGGAGCAAACGGGAUUAGAUACCCCGGUAGUCCUAGCCCUAAACGAUGAAUGCUUGGUGUGGCGGGUAUCGAUCCCUGCCGUGCCGAAGCUAACGCAUUAAGCAUUCCGCCUGGGGAGUACGGUCGCAAGGCUG
rnacentral:rRNA from 1 species